rnacentral:piRNA from 1 species
UAAGGUUCGAUGUGCUCUUUCCACAAUGC